CCUUGGAGCCUGAGCAGCGGAGGGACGGGGAGGACGGGAGGAAAGGAGGACGUGGUUUCAUGCAGGUCCUCACUCCUCCCCUCCCGUCUUCCUCUUCCUCUCCCAAGCCUGCCUCAGCGUGG
rnacentral:precursor_RNA from 12 species